rnacentral:misc_RNA from 1 species
GGAAGUAAAAGUCGUAAAAAGGUUUCCGUAGGUGAACCUGCGGAAGGAUCAUUAUUGUAUAACCGAGCCGCGAGGGCUGUCGCUGACCCGAAAGGUCGUGCACGCCCGAGUGCCCUCACACACAUCCAUCUCACCCCUAGGUGCACCACCGCGUGGGUCCCCCUUUGGCUUGUUCGGAGGGGGGCUUACGUUUUCACACAAACUUUGUAUGCAGUGUAGAAUGUAUUUUUUGUUUUUGCGAUCACGCAAUCAAUACAACUUUCAACAACGGAUCUCUUGGCUCUC